rnacentral:rRNA from 1 species
GUUGAACGCUGGCGGCGUGCCUUAUACAUGCAAGUCGAGCGAACAGACGAGGAUCUUGCUCCUCUGACGUUAGCGGCGGACGGGUGAGUAACACGUGGAUAACCUACCUAUAAGACUGGGAUAACUUCGGGAAGCCGGAGCUAAUACCGGAUAAUAUAUUGAACCGCAUGGUUCAAUAGUGAAAGACGGUUUUGCUGUCACUUUUAGAUGUACCCGCGCCGGAUUGGCUAGUUGGUAAGGUAACGGCUUACCAAGGCAACGAUGCGUGGCCGACCUGGGAGGGUGAUAGGCCACCCUGGAACGAGGACAGGGCCCAAACUCCUAGGGGAGGAAGCAGUGGGGAAUUUUCCGCAAUGGGCGAAAGCCUGACGAAGAAAGGCGGCGUGGGUAAUAAGGGUCUUCGGAUCGUAAACCUCUGUUAUUAGGAAAGAACAAAUGUGUAAGUAACUAUGCACGUAUGGACGGUACCUAAGAAGAAGGCCCCGCCUAACUACGU